AUAAAUGCCCUGUGUACACUUGCAAUGUAAAAGUCAGACUUGGUUUCAUUUGCUUUAGUUUGAAAUUUGACAGCCUAUUUGUAGAAUGUGUCUUUAAAUUGCAAGUUAAUCGUUAUCGUGGGUUGUAAAUGUAUGAGACUUGUGGUUUACCGCAAACUUUUUAUCUGCGAGUCAGUGGCUGGACGGUGUUGACAGUAUUAUUAGUUUCAGUAAGUUACUGCUGCUUUGUAUACGUUUGCACAUCCAUUUGUUUUCCCAAAAUCCAGGUGGGGACUUUCUGUUUGAUAUACGACUUACAAGUCAAAACCAAAGACAUGGCGAGGUCCUCUGUAGUGGAGUAGUGUAUUUAGAAGAAAUAACUUAUUCAACUGGAUUCUCUCUAGAUGAUAAUAAUAGUUUCAUCUGUAACUGUGGGAUAUUAGUGGUCGGUCAUCUCCCAGUCUUAACUACAACGAGAACGAUGCCUUUAGCGUGAUUAGUUACUUGAAAAGACAAGCAUCGCGUAGAAUGUAAGCUUAAUAAUUAAUGAGUACAGCCUGUUUACAUAAAAGGAUCAACUGUCCAAAAUGUAAAUACAGGCGAUGAUUAAUCACCUUGUUGCAAUCAAAUGCUGUACUGAAGAAACACCCAAAUAUAAUGUCCAAUCAUAUAACAUUUCCUUAUUAAAACAAACAUUUGACAGUUUUCCAACUAUGCACGAGGCGUGAGAUCUGAUGUACGCAUGCGCCAGAAUGCGGCAAAACAGGGACUGCAAUGGAUGAAUGGCGCGUGCGCUUUACACGCCCACAUAGAGUUUUGACAAAGAGCAAUUACAAACCCUCAGACUGGCAGAAAAUUCUGGAACUUGUACUGAGGUGGAGCUGGUUCUCAAACUGGAUCUUGAGCAAGCCACAUAAUCUUCAGAUUCAGUCUUGAGGCUUCACUGGAAUUGCAUGGACUUUCUGGAUCUGCCUAAAUCCUUAAUAUUUAUGGAGUAGAACUAAUAAAAUGUAAUUCUUUGACAGUGGAUUUGGGAUUGGUUGCACGUUGGAAAUACAAACGCGCACUUUAGGCCUAAACAAUAUUGUUGCAUGUUAUACAAUAAAUGAAUCCCCUGGAUACUUGGACAACAAUAUUCUUUUCUUCUUCCUGUUUCCAAGCACCACAAGACGAGGAAACAACGGGAUUAUAAACAAAACAGCGACAGAAUGUGGAAUGCGUUUGCGAGAAAUGGUUUGUGCUUGUGUGCUGGAGCGCUUUAAAACACCCUGGAACAGCCUCACCGUGGAGAAUUAAACACUUGCAGAUCGCAUGCCCGCGUCACAAACAGACCACACACUCGAUGUUCGUGAAUGUUCAGAUGUUAAUUUUUGGCGCCAGUUAUUGAAAGAAUGUUCUUUGAAAUAUGACGCCAUUUUGAGCAUAACCUAGUGUAGGGG